GCAGAUUCAAACUAAUGGUGUCUCACCAACACAUGGCAUGAGAACACCUGUAGCAAUCUGUUUGACAGUCAUUCACGAGCAACUUAGAAUUGCAAGAAAGAUGUCCUUGGCGUGUACACCCUGUGGAAUCUGGUUCAUCUUCAAUCUGUCAGAAGGCAUCAGAGGUGGUUUUGACUCCUUAUGUCUUGGACCUGUGCACAAAAAGUGUAAAAUGGAUGGAACAUCAGACAGCUCAUUAUAGAGACAAGUAAGCUCCAGUUCCAAAGUUGGUUGACAGAACAAGUCAUGACCUUGUGUGGAGGAAAAUGAGAUCCCGAGUGAAGUCUACAAUGUCAUUGACUCUGAAGAAGGACUCAGAGACCCAUUGGUGUUUAAUGACCCUUACUGGCCUAUGCAAUGGAAACUGGUAAUGAAAACAUCCCCAUGACCA
rnacentral:lncRNA from 10 species